rnacentral:sRNA from 1 species
AUGGGGAAGAAACGUCGAUUGCCGCUUAUAGACGUUGGCGCAGGACCCGCACGUUCACAACAACGGGGGGAGGAGAACUUGGAAGCCGCCCAUACUACACCGCACGCACGAGCGGAUGCUCCUGAUGCUGGUACAACACCCCCAGGUAGUUUACACGUUGAUUGUUAAUGUAAUAUUUGAUAUUUACUACUGCAUGCAUAAUUUUUCCGCUGUUGGUUGCAGGACUGCGAAGGGACUUUCCAUUGACGGUUAUUGAGGUUGGUGAUGGAUCCUCGCGUUCACGAGACCGCGUGGAGGAGGAUCUACGGGCUGCCUUUGCAGCUGACCACACACUAGGGGAUGCAAGUGAUGAUGAUGAGACCCAACCCCCUUCUCAAGGUAGUAUGUGUUUUGAAAUGUAACGUUUCGUCAAUUUGUCCACUUAUCUUCAUAGAAUUAGGCAUCAAGUGUCCGAAAAUGAUAUAAACGUAUCACUUUUGCAUUUUCAACAUAAUACUCUUGAAGGACACCUACUGAUGCCAUGUCAGUUUGACGAACUUAUUAAAGAAUUACAUAGAAUACACGUAAACUUUAUUGUAUUAAUUUAAAAAGAUCGUAGACAUUAGAAGACUGAAUUGAAUGACAAACUUAGAUGAUGUAUAUGAAAGUAAGCUUUAAAUUCUAGAUUUGUGUGAGGUACUUGAAACUUUAAUAGAGUUUCAUAGGUGGAAAGUGUAGUAGUAUUUGGGCUAGCUAAGGAUAGCAUCUACUGCAUGUAAUUUGUACGGUAUGACAAAUUUAGAACCAUAUUUUCAUAACAUUGUUUGAGUACUUGUAGCCAUAGAAGAACUGAAAACGAUGUCUAUGUGUGAAGUCUUAGGCUAAUUUAGAAAUAAUAUGAAAAAGCAAUACAUUUUAAAAUAAAUUAUGUGUGUCUACGGAAAUUAUGAAUUUUUAGUAAGGAAAUUUUACUCAAUUAUUACCAUUGUUCGUUUAUGUCAAAAACUUUAUCGUAAUUGAAUAAUUUAUAGAUGCAUCUAUGAAUGACUCAUAUGAGUAAUUUCAAUUAGUAUUAACUACCUAUAGAGAAUAUAAUCUCCCUUAUUUUCAAAAAAAGAAAAAAGAAAAAGGACAAAGAAUAUAAUCUCCCAAGUUACUAUUCGCCCUGUCUCGUAUUAGCCGGAUUUUAAAAUUAGUAUACUUAGCUGAUUGGAAACAUGCAAUGUAUUAUGUUCUUGAGAUAACAAUGCAAGGCUGCCCAUUGCUUCUUUGAAAUUCAUGAAAAUAUGAACAACUUAUUAUUAAAGUAAGGAAACAAAUGACGAAAAAAAGUAAAGCUAAAAAGCAAGUAUAAUAAUGCCAUUAUCGAUGAACAUCACUAUCAUGUUAAGAGUGUGCACUUGAGCUAUAUACAGUAACUUCUGUCUAAUUAUGAACUUCGAAAUUUCAUUCCUAAUGCCAGUGUACUAUAUGCAGAAAGUUUGGUCCAACAAACCCAAGAAACCAGCAAUGUGAGGGCAGAAAAUGUGGGUCAAGCAACCCCCGGCUCCAGUAAUGGGACAAAAAAGCGGGGGAAUACGCUAAUGCGAAAAAUAUGGGCCCUUCCAGCAGAUAAAAAAAUUCAGUUGCCGUUAAAUGCAGCAUUCCAACCGCUUGGGGAGAGCGGACAGACAUUCGUACGGUGGUUGGGUACUUUUUGCAUCUGCCAUGUCUACUGCCCACUUAUGCCUUUGAAUUGGGCGCAUGUCCCUCCUGAGUGCAAAGCAAAUGCCUGGACAGAGAUUCAGGUAUUGGCGUACUUUGUUUGUUUUUGUCUUUGACAUAUUUGUGAGUUAGCUGAACCAUAUAUAUAUGCCCUAAUAUGCUCAAUGCACUAUGAAACAUGCCGAAUUCUACCGUAGUGACGCAUUUAAGUGGAAUAUAUAAAUCAUUUCGUCAUGACUUUAGUGUUGAACUAUUUAAGUUUUAGUUCUAUUCAUCAUAGUCUGUCAAGUUGUAACACAUCUGUUUAUUUUCCCAUUGUAACACAAUGUGGAAAAUCCAUGUGAAAAACAAGCAUGAUUGGUAUUUUUUUUUCCUAAAUAUUAUAUAAAUUAACAUUUAUCAAUAACAUGACUAUUAAGUCAAAACAUCAUUUUUGGUUUUUUUUUUUUUUUUUGGGAAACAACUUUUACAAAUUGAGUUAACUACAACUCACAUGUACAUUUAUCAAUGAAGUUUAAUAAAGCAUGUAAAAUCAGAUGUGCACUUGCCGAUCACAUGUCAAUAUAUAUAUAUAUAUAUAUUUAUGUCUUUCAUAGAUUCAAUAGGAUUUAAAACUUUUGGUGUCUAUUUCAUGAUAAGUACUCAUUACUAUUAAGUCUAGACUUCAGUUGCAUUUUUAAUUGUGUAUAGCUAUACUAGGAUUUAAAACUUGCUGCACAAUAACUAACUACAAUAAGAGGUGGUCUUGGUCAAUCAAUAAGACAAACUAAAUGUGCUUGGGCUUUGCUAAUAAAGUGAGACACUCGGACGGCUACAUAAACACCCACAUUACAUCUAACCGAAAGCCACACAUAGUUGGGGAAGGCUAUUAAGGAAGGAACCUAAAUGCAAGCAAUACUUACAUGAUUUUACAAUGCACAGCCUAAGCAAGUUAUGACAACUUUCACGUGACUUCCUUAACCAAAAUAUCAAGUCCUAUUAGCUAGCUAGAAACAUCAUGCAGCCAAUAAAUUAAGGAAACUUCCACACACACACUCUCUCUCUCUUGCAUUUUGAUUAAUCAUUAACCAGAGAAAAAAUAAUAUUAGGAUAAAAUUAAUAUAAUUUAUUGGUAAUCGACUUUUCUCCUGUCGUAGUUUUCAUCUAACAUAUAUUAAUUACAAUUAAGAUUGUCUCAUUCUUGUUAAGUUAUUUAGCUAGUUGGUACUUAUAUUUGAUAGUCAAUGGCGUUUAGUACCAAAAUAUUAAAUGAGAGUUAACCAUCUAUUUCAUUUUUGUUUGAAAUUUAGACUUUGUUCAAUCUAUAGCUAUAUUACGCUACAUUUAAUUGUUAUGUACAACUGAAUGUCUGCUAAAUGGCAUGUUUAGUAGGGUGAACUAUUGCACUAUGCUAACUCAGUUUUUGCAUUUCAGAAAAAGUGGGAAAUUCACCCAGAAGUUCUCCCUCCAGCUAAUCAAAUGUCGUGGGCAAUGCACCUACUAGGGGAACUGAGGAGGAACCGACGGACCAAGUUGAAACAGAAAUUGUACACAGAAGGUGCAACCAAAGAAGAAGUACUUGCAAAAAUACCAGCAUGGGCUGAGCCGCAGCAGUUUGCGGAUCUAGUUGACUAUUGGUUUGAUCCAAAGACGGAGGUUCAACCAUUUUCUUGCUCUAUUAUCUUUUAUUUAAAAUAUUCAUAUCAUGGGGUAUUUGAAUUUACCGAGUACAGUUUAUGUAACUAAUUGUUUCAUUUUAAUUUGUUGGUGGGAAUGUGUUUGUAGACAUUAGUUAAUAACAACAAGAGAAGUCGUUCGUUUCAGAAAGACAUAGCGAGGUCAGGGCCUAUAAGUUUUGCCCAAAUUGCAGACAAUAUGGUAAGAAAUGCAUUAUACAACAAGUAGCCAGGGGUUUAAUAUUCUACUAUUUUAGAUUCACAUGUAAUAAAUGUAAAUAGUUUUGUAAAAUCAAUUUACUGAUGAAUCUGAGGAUACUGUACAAAGUUAGUAUGUAAUGUUUACUAUUGCUUGCGUCAUUAGUAUAAAUUCUACCCAAGCGACUCCUUUAAGUGGAAUAUAUAAAUCAUUUCGUCAUGACUUUAGUGUUUAACUAUUUAAUUUUUAGUUUUAUUCGUAGUUUUGACGUUGUGACAGCAAAAGACAAGUGAGAGAGAGGAAAUGUUUGGAAGUUGUGUGAAGGAAAUGUUUGUAGGUAGCUACCCAAUAUAUAGAACUUUGGGACCGAAAACCGGUUCAGACUAAGCAUUCACAUAAAGAGAACAACUCACGUGUCUAUUUAAAUUGGUUAUACAUUAUAUUGCAUGCCGCUUCAUAUCACGAACAUAAAUUUUCGUUAUUAUCAUGACACUGUUGAGUAUGGUGUAGGCAAAAGACAGUGGGCAAGCAGUGGAGCGUGCAGUUCUUUUCCAGAAAGUAUACUCCAAGAAAGAUGGGACUCCUGUCAGUACUGAUGUGGGAGCUAAGAUUGUAAGCCUUAUCGUACUUUAUUUCUUUCAUAUUUUGGGCAUGAAUUGUGCUUGUAGCGAGUAAUAUGUUAUUUUGGUUCUUGUAUGAAAACAGAGCAAAAUGAAUGAGAUUUUAAACAAUGGGGGCUCACUACAAGGAGAGCGUCACCAAGGAAUUUUAUGGUCAAAAACUGAUGCGUUUGCACAAGUGAUGGGGAAAGAACGUUGUGGACGUGUACGAGGGGUCGGUUUUGGACCAACCCCAUCAGGAAGAAGUGGGGCCACCCAGCCAUGUUAUACAUCGACUCCACCAUCGUCCAGUGCAACGACCCAGCAGAUGACGGACUUGGAAAAUUCGUUGAGGGACGAACUUGCCCAGGCAGAGCAGAGGCAUCAGGAGAAAAUAGCCGACUUGCAUGCAAAGCAUAAAGAGGAAAUCGCUGAAUUACAUGCGCGGCAUAAGGAGGAAGUCACUGAAGCAAUAGCUGCCGCUCAGAGAAACAUCUUAGACCAAUUGCAGCCAUUCCUAAAUACUCUGUCAUUAUCUCAGGUACUUUCAAUGUUGUAGUUGCUUUACUGAAAUUGCGAGGUAAUUGCUCCUCAUUAUUAUGUACUACUAAUACAACGUGUUUAAUAUAUUUAGGGACGCGAUCCAUCACAAUGUCAUCGUUAGAGGACUCUUCCACCUAUGUAUUGACAGGUAUGUCUAUUUUGAAAUGUUUUGCCUCCCUAUGUACCAACUAAUUAAAUAUGACAAAAUCAAUUCCCAUGAGCUUAUAGUGUAUUUGUUGGUACCCAAUUGCUAAACUGGCUCUACAAAGCUCACUUAUGGCAAUCAUGUUAACUAAACCCAUUUCAUCUCUCUAAGUAGAUUUAUAUGUAUAUAUGAUAUAUAUGGAGAAGAUAUUAAAGGAGAAAAGUAUGAUGUUAACAUUGUUGAGGUUGUUUUAUGGUAAUCAUGUUAACUAAACACAUUUCAUCUCUCUCUGUAGAUUUAUAUGUAUAUAUGAUAUAUAUGGAGAAGAUAUUGAAGGAGAAAAGUUGA